rnacentral:rRNA from 1 species
GACGAACGCUGGCGGCAUGCCUAAUACAUGCAAGUCGAGCGGAGUUAUGAUGGAGCUUGCUCCUGAUUAACUUGGCGGCGGACGGGUGAGUAACACGUAGGCAACCUGCCCUCAAGACUGGGAUAACUACCGGAAACGGUAGCUAAUACCGGAUAAUUUCUUCCCUCUCUUGAAGAGAGAGUGAAAGGCGGAGCAAUCUGCUACUUGGGGAUGGGCCUGCGGCGCAUUAGCUAGUUGGUGAGGUAACGGCUCACCAAGGCGACGAUGCGUAGCCGACCUGAGAGGGUGAGCGGCCACACUGGGGCUGAGACACGGCCCAG